rnacentral:rRNA from 1 species
GGAGGGCGCAAGCGUUGUUCGGAAUUACUGGGGGGCGUAAAGCGCGUGUAGGGCGGGCUUGGGCAAGUCGGUUGUGAAAUCCCGAGGCUCAACCUCGGAACUGCAGCCGAAACUGCCCGGCUAGAGUCCUGGAGAGGGUGGCGGAAUUUCCGGUGUAGAGGUGAAAUUCGUAGAUAUCGGAAGGAACACCAGUGGCGAAGGCGGCCACCUGGACGGUGACUGACGCUGAGACGCGAAAGCGUGGGGAGCAAACAGGAUUAGAUACCCUGGUAGUCCACGCCGUAAACGUUGGGUGCUAGGCGUCGGGGGUAUUGACCCCUCCGGUGCCGAAGUUAACGCAUUAAGCACCCCGCCUGGGGAGUACGGCCGCAAGGCUAA